rnacentral:piRNA from 1 species
GGUUCAGCAGUUUGCCAAGGAGUCCCC